AUAAAAACACAAACUAUAUAAAAGGUCUGCUGGUAAUUUUUCAGAAGUAAAUACAAUCACCUUACUAAAUAAUAAUCUUGGAAUUAUUCUGAAAUAUUUUCAUCCUAUCUAAAAAAAAACAGUCUAAAGUCAUUAAUGAUCUAGCCCUUUAAUUUGUUACUCUCAGCCUAGCUAGCAGAGCAUUUCUUGUCAAAUAUCUAUAUUUUUGGGUUUAGGCAUAUAAAAUGGGAAGGAAAAAAUUAGCAGAUGGCCUCAGGGGGAAAAAACCCAAAAAAGAGCAAACUGAUUGGAGAUGAAUCCCACUGAGAGCUUUAAAAAUAAACAGUAAACCUUAGUUUGAAUCUCUAAAUGAACUGAGAACCUUUGAUGCGACUCUCGCACUGAAGUGAUGUUACAUAUAGAAGCAGUCAGGACUUGUGUAUCCACAUGGACUUAGAAUAAUAAAUGCUAUUCAAGCAGUAAUGAUAAUAAAUUAAAGCCUGAAUUUAACAAAAUUAGACCAAAUCAAAUUAUUUCAGUGUGGCUUUACUUUAAUGUACUUACGACAAUUACUGAACAUCUUUAGUUAUCCCUGAUCAAUCACCAAUGUUUCUGUCAUGUUAAUAUUUUCCAAUAUAAGAAUAUAGAAGCAUGAUAGGCCCAAAAAUGGAACCCUGAGAAUAGAAAUAUGUCUUUUAUAUUGUUUAUGGACCAGCUUUUUGCAAAAUAAUCAUCAACCUUGUGAGAAACCUUGAUAGAGUAACCACCUGGAGUUUUAAAUCCAUGCCUUCGUGUCACUUUAUUACUGUGAAUAAAAUUUUGGCAUUUUGAAUCAGGAAGAUUAAGAAAAUUUAGGCUGCCUCAUACCUUUAUAGUGAACAGAAAUGUCCCUUCUCACCAUGAAAUGAACCAAGCCAAGGAAAAAUAGGUUAUCUUAUCUGUGGUGUGAAAAGCCAAGACUUCAAUUCGAGGAUCAGCAUUGGCAAAUUUAUCGAAAAACCUUUCCAUUCAGUAGAAACACGUAAAAGGUAUAAUUAGGCUUUUUUCCAGUGCCGGGGAUUAAGACAGUGAUUUACGGAAGCAGUGUGCCUGAAUUUAUCAUACAUGAGCUCAUUUUUGCAGUACUGCUGUGAGGAUUUACAAGUUAUUAUUCUGCAGUGGAGCAUGACACAGCUGGAGACUCACUAUUAGUCAUGCACACGUUGGUGAUUUAUUCAUACCUAACGUAGAAAAUGAAAGAAAAUAAUGUUACUCUUUAAACAAAUUUGUAAAAUGUCAAAUGGUAAUAACCAGGCAAUGAAUUUCUUAAACAAUAUCAGCACAUGAAAAGAUCAAAAGUGCAUAUUAAUGCAGCCUUCUUUUUCUGGGCAUUUGAAAAUCUUGACCCACCCUUACACCAUAGAGAUCGUGUAAGUCAUAGGGGGAAUUUUCCUUUUGCUAAUUAUACAUACUUAUAGAUAGAUAGAUAGAUUUAAUAGAUAUAGAUUUUAGAGAUUUAAUAAAUAUAUUUUUUUCAUUUUUAAAUUAUUUAAAAUGACGUGAUUAGGGGUUAGGGGCUGGAUGACUACUAGUCAACUACUCAAGCAGUAAUUCAAAAAAAAAAAGUUAUUGAAUAGCUGUAUUUUCCAAAGAUAAACCAAAAACUAUUGCUAUUUUUAGGCUGUUGUGCAGAAAAAAGGUUUGUGUAUCAAACCUCCCUUCAGUUAGGAAAGUAAAUAAAUCAGUGUUCCAUAUUAGACGCACCAUUUGUUAAAAGGUACUCGUCUGCACAAGCUGGCAGCUCAGCUGAAAUUGUUGUUUCUGAAACUGAGAUUGCACAGCAUGGAAGCUCAUGUCCAUCAACAGAGCCCUCCGUGUAGCUUAAUGAGCGGCCUUCUUUGGAUGGAGGAUACAAUGUAUACAGCAUUUGGAAUAUUUUUCUGCCAUGUUUGACUCCGGCCUCAGUAGCAUCUGAUAAGAGGCUAUGCCUCGUUGAGCUAGCAUGUGCUUCUGAUCAGACGGGGAUCAGAUUGGGAUCAGAUUCUAAACGGAUGUGCAACCCGCGGCUCUGAAAGUGCUCUUUCACACAGCACUGGUCACGAUGGAAUUCAGUCUGCCACAGGGCAAGGAUUUUAUUCAAAUUUUAUGUAGAUUUAAAGGGUAGGAAUUCCUUCCUGAAUGGGCAUCGGGGAAAAAUUUGUGUACACAAAAUGGCCCACACAGGGGUGAGAUUAAAAAUCUGUUGGGAUUAUAUAAUUGCCUACUUUGUUUCAGACUAACAAAGUACAUUUAGCUGCAUUCUCUACCGGUUUCCUAACAGUUUUUUUCCACCAGCCUGUCUUGUCGACAUCCCCACAUCUUGCCCACAGCUAUCUGACAUACAAGUCCCUGUGAAUGAGUUAUAUAUAGAAACACUAGUGUAUUGAAAUGAUGCAUUAAUUUAAACCUGAGAUUUGCAGCUGCACAACUGUCAGAGCUACUGUUAGAGAAAAUUCUGGAUACUCAACACACAAUACAUUCUGAUCAAUUAAAACUGAGAAUCCAAAAGCUCUCUGGUAUCAUUUUUAAUGAGGCAAUACUCAACAAGAAAAAAAUCACACUUAUAAUUGCAUCUAGACUUUUUGCCUUUUGCCCCCAUUUCAAUGCAGAUGCAGGGGUUUUUUGUUGUUACUGAUGUAUAAAAAGAUUGGGUUUGAAUAUAGGAUCAGAGGGUCAGUAGUGCAGGCUAUGAUCAAACUCACAACUGACUGAAAUAUCAAAGACCAGAUAGACUCACAGUGGAAGGAAACAAAGAGUGGAAGAGUUGAACACGGCGUAUAGGAAAUGGACGAGGAUCAGACUGUAACGAAAACAUGGCAAGACUUCGCAAAAUGUAAUAAUAAUAAUACGGAGAGAGUGUUCAUGGAGGGAUUUCCCCACUUAACGGACAUUUCAUCAAUUUAUCAACUAAUGUAAAUUACAGUAGAUAACUCAGUUAGCACACCAAUGUUGGGCCAUUGUUGGAUGUUUAGACUUACAGUCACCUUUAAAUCCACCUUGCCAACAUUGGUACAACAUUCUAUACAGCAGGCCAACACUGCCACUCAAAACAGAUGUUGGUGCGUCCAAUGUCAAUUUGCUACCUAGGAAUGGAUCACGUUAACAUGACUGUAGAUUUCAGGAGCAGAGUUUACCCAGAUGUCAUUUAGUUACUUAUUGCUGAUUGGUUGCAAGUUUAGAUUCAAACUGAGUGUACAUUAUAAUUAACUUUUAAUGAUCUACUCAAAUAAAGUAGACCAUGUUGAGAAGCAUGGUCACGGUCUGACAGUUCCACCCCACACCACCAGAGGGCCCCGUCACCAGAACCCUAGGCUACUUCCUGGUCACCUGAACACUCACCUGAUGCUCAUUACUUCUUCAUUUCCCCAGUUUUUAUGUACCCUUCAGUUUCCAAGCACACUGGAUGUGUGAAAUAACUAGAAUUUGGAAUAAAAUGGUUCUCCAAAUCUCUAAAACUAUACCACAAAAUCUCUUUUUUACAAGCAAUUGAUCAUGUGAUUCUUUAGUUUGUGUCACUGAUACCCUUUAAUUAGAGGAACGAUUUGGGUUUGUGGAACAAAUCCAUAAACCCAAACCCACAAACCUGUUUUCCAGGUUUUUUUUUUAAAGAGCAAGAGGCGAGUUCAUGCGUUAUUCAUAGCGCUAAGGGCCAGCUGUUCCUCUGAAGCCUCUUCUGAAUCAGUCUCAAGGUGCCCGACCCUUUUCUCCUCUGCAUGGGGUCAUCAUUUUAAUUUGGAUGGAGAAGGAAGGAGGAGGAAAAGAACCACUUCAGGUCUCCAUGAAGAGAACAGACGGCUGUGACAGCAUGAUGAUAAUCAAGGUAACAAGAGAGCACAUUAGAGCCGGACAGAUGGCUGGAGAGUCAACGACAACACCGCAGUCACCGGACUCACCAAUGACUCCUGGUCAUGAGUAAGAGUUUUCUGUAGAGAUGUUUAUUCAGCAUUUAUGGAAGGAGUCUCCAGUAUCAAUGGAAGGAGUCUCCAGUAUCAAUGGAAGGAGUCUCCAGUAUCAAUGGAAGGAGUCUCCAGUAUCAAUGGAAGGAGUCUCCAGUUUCUGAGACUGGAAUUCUUCAGGAUGGAGGAGAUUUACAGUUUCUCGGGAACAUGCCAAGCUGUGUUUUUUUUUUGUUGGGGUUUUUUUUUUUUUUUUUUUUGCCUUUCAAGCUACAAGAGAGAGGUAAUGAGGCUGGAGAGAGAAUGACUGUAUCUAUCCUGCUGCUAUAACAGGAACUACCCUGGAUUAACAGUAAAUGUUGCUAUAAACAGAUAAAAAAAAAAAGUGUGAAUAAAUAAAAAAUUGUUAGUGUCAGCUAUAAGAGGAAUAAACUGUAACUCCGUUUCAUCACACCAGCAUGGUUUUGUUACACAGAUAUGGUCAAGUAUUGACUGUGUACCGUGUCAGUGAACGCCUUUAGCAUGCCAGGAGACAUUGCGUGACAUGUUUUGUGGUGUGUUUGGGAAAGGCCCUGCUGUAGGUCCGUGAUCUCACCCUGCUCUCUAAAGUCGAAGAUGUGGUUAAUAGUUAGCUAACAGGGAAAUCGUCGCCGCAUAGGCUUUUUUGUUUUUUUACAUAAUUUGAGUGACUGUCUCUUAUAAGCAGAUGCUCAUUUGAUGAAAAAUGGCAGGAAGUACCAUAAAGAUGGCCGCUUGCCUUCUCUAACAGUUUCCUCCCUUGUCUCGGUGGUCACAUCCCCAAGGUCUGGAAGAUCUAUUGUUUCGCUUUCUCUCUCCCCUUCCCAAACCGUCAUCCUCUAUCACUUUCUAGAUAGACAAAGACAGAGUCUGGAGCCAGCAGUGCUAUUGUGCAUCCUGGCUGGAGUCCAAGGUCAGGGCUGCAACUGCCUGCCAACAGUCUUCGACAAGUACAGCACACAAACACACACUCAGUCCCUCAGUGUGUAUAGGCCCAUGAUAAUAGAUUAUUUGAUAGACUGGCCUCAGUGGACUGUAGGGCCAAUGCCAAUGGACAAUGCUAAACCUGACACCACUUAGCUGAAGCAGCUCAUGUGUCUGCCAUUGUGUCACACAUGAUCACUGCAAACAUACAUAGGAUUAAAACACAAACGUGGCCCUAAAUCAACUGAUGUCAAUACCGAGAUAUUAGAUGUACUACUUAUUAUACUAUUCCAGUAGCUGUUUUUUUUUUUUUUUUUUCAGUCUUAUAUGCAGUUUCACAGAAAUGAAGUUAGUCCAAAUGUACUUAGCAUAAUUAGCAUUUUGUUUCCCAUUGGUCUCCCCAAUUUGGUCAUCUGCCGAUUCCCACCCACCAGCCACCAGUCUCCUGUGACAGCUACCAGCCAGGGAGGGUGAAGGCUAACACGUGCUUCCUCCGAGACGCAUCCAUCUGCGACUGCGUCUUCUCGAGCUGCUGCUCAUGCUGCGUCACAGGGCAGCCUCAGACACUCAGAAGAAAGCUCAAUCUGCCCUCUUCCGCAUAUAUGAGCUCAUAGACGAUACGUGAUUGGCUAGUGAGGAUGGAGAUAGAGUAUGUCAUUCCUCCAACAAGGAAAGCACGGCCGAUUUUGUUCUCUUGGCUCCCGGCCAUGGGGAAGGCUGUGACAUCAUCAGGAUUGAAACUUGCGAUCUCCUUUUUUUUCUGUUUAUGCUAUUUUUAAAAUCCUGUUUACACUGUUAUUAUUUUCUAACAAAUUUCGCUGGUUCUUUUCCAGUAGCCUAAAUGAAACCACCAUGACCCUGACCCUGACCAGGCAAUUACUAAGGAUGAAUGAAUGAAUGCUGUAAAUGAAUUCUUAUCCCACGAGCUUCAUCUCUGACUGCUUGCCCAUAUGAAAAUAAAAACCUGUAUCUGUAUUUGUUUAGAAAACAUUAUAUGUUCAGUCAGAUUAAUGGAUUUAAGCACCAUUACAUCCUGUGUGUGUGUGUGUUUCCUAAACCUAAUCCAACAGUAGAAUUAAUUAUUUCAUAAACAUGUUUUCUGGCCACCACACCAGAGGUUCUCUUUAUAAAGAACGGAUAGAACGGUUAGCAUUGUGUGUGUGUGUGUGUGUGUGUGUGUGUGUGUGUGUGUGUGUGUGUGUGUGUGUGUGGCGCUGCUGAGUGCGGACUGUAGAAGCAUGAACCUUAUUAACCUCACAACUGGUUGGAACCGGCUGGUGCAGCAAGAGGAACCGAUCUUGCAGAUGAAUUAACACACUGCAAAGGUCUUUGGAAUUUCAUCAGACAACAAAGAAAGAGGGUCAGAGAGCAAAGUCAGCAGUACGCACACACACACACACACACACACAUACACACAAGGCUUUAGACAAUGAGAAAAGAGGAUCAGAGGGUGAGCUCAGUAGUACAGUUGGAGAAACAGUGUUAAUGCUUUCAGAGCCUCUCAAGUUGAUUAGAGACCACACACACACACACACACACACACACACACACACACACACGCUCAUCCAGAGGACUCCCACUGCAGAUGUUCAAAUACGCAGGCAUUAACUUAAUUGGGCCUGUAUAAUUUGCACUGGAUUUUAUACUUCAUAUACGGCCAAUGAGUGCAAUAUGGCAAAAUGCACAUGUGGUGGAAUCAAAGAAAAGUGUAUUUCUACAUUGUUUUAUUAUUUAUGUUGCCAAGACUGCGGGCUGGUUUUGACUUGCUGCUGUGUGGUUCCUGUCUGAGAGGUGACGGUUGCAUGUUUUGCAUACAUUUGAUUAUUUAUAUUGAUGUUUUGCAAGAAAAAUAGGUCAAAUGCAGAAUUAUAUGUAUGCAGAUAUAUAGAUAUAUAUAUGACAUUGGUUUGUCAUAAUGAAUUUGUCGUACACUUCAGCCUUUCUUUGUGUCUGAAGUCUGUUUGUGUGUCUACGUUGUGAUUACCAUCACAGGCCUGCCUUGAAAGAGUGUUACAGAAAACAGCUUGCACAAUACAACUUAAGUGCACAUGCUUAAUUAACAUUAACGCCAAUGGCAAUGACAUCAUCCUUUUUAUCCGAGCCCCGUUUACAGCCAUGGUCCAAUAAAGGAUGGGAUUGACAUUCAAGAAGCUUAAUAAAAUAUAGAA